rnacentral:rRNA from 1 species
GGGCGUAUUCUGAGAUUUCAUCUGUCUGGUGGCCGGUAGAGUUUGCUGGCGAAGGGGUGCUUCCCCCUGGGUGUCUGCAUUACAGUGGGGUGGCCUCGCCUAACAGCGAAUUAAUACCGCAUGUGGUGAGGGACGACAUCUUCCUGAGUCCAAAGCCGGGGCAACCUGGCGCUUUUUGAGGAGCCCGCGGCCUAUCAGCUAGUUGGUGAGGUAACGGCUCACCAAGGCUAUGUCGGGUAGCUGGUCUGAGAGGACGACCAGUCACACUGGAACUGAGACACGGUCCAGACACCUACGGGUGGCAGCAGUCGAGAAUUUUUCUCAAUGGGGGAAACCCUGAAGGAGCGACGCCGCGUGGAGGAUGAAGGCUUUCGGGUUGUAAACUCCUGUCAUUUGAGAACAAGUGUCGGUAACUAACUACUACCGGCUUGAUAGUAUCAGAAGAGGAAGAGACGGCUAACUCUGUGCCAGCAGCCGCGGUAAUACAGAGGUCUCAAGCGUUGUUCGGAUUCAUUGGGCGUAAAGGGUGCGUAGGUGGCGCGCUAAGUCAGGUGUGAAAUCUCGGGGCUUAACUCCGAAACUGCAUUUGAUACUGGCGUGCUUGAGGACUGGAGAGGAGACUGGAAUUUACGGUGUAGCAGUGAAAUGCGUAGAGAUCGUAAGGAAGACCAGUGGCGAAAGCGGGUCUCUGGACAGUUCCUGACACUGAGGCACGAAAGCCAGGGGAGCAAACGGGAUUAGAUACCCCGGUAGUCCUGGCAGUAAACGGUGCACGUUUGGUGUGAGAGGAUUCGACCCCUUUCGCCGCCGGAGCUAACGCGUUAAACGUGCCGCCUGGGGAGUACGGUCGCAGAUUAAAACUCAAAGGAAUUGACGGGGGCCCGCACAAGCGGUGGAGCAUGU